AUUGAACGCUGGCGGCAGGCCUAACACAUGCAAGUCGAACGAGUGGCGGACGGGUGAGUAAUGUCUGGGAAACUGCCCGAUGGAGGGGGAUAACUACUGGAAACGGUAGCUAAUACCGCAUACCAUCGGAUGUGCCCAGAUGGGAUUAGCGUGUAGGUGAGGUAACGGCUCAACUAGGCGACGAGCCCUAGCUGGUCUGAGAGGGUGACCAGACAGACUGGGACUGAGACAAGGUCAAGACGCCUACGGGAGGCAGCAGUGGGGAAUAUUGAAAAAUGGGCGCAAGCCUGAUAUAGUCAUGCCGCGGGGAUGAAGAAGGCCUUCGGGUUGUAAAUUACUUUCAGCGGGGAGGCGGUCCCCGCAGAAGAAGCACCGGCUAACUCCGUGCCAGCAGCCGCGGUAAUUC
rnacentral:rRNA from 1 species